UCACAAAUUUAAAGCAUUUCAUGCUUUCAGGAUCUGUUUUGUGGUUCACAAAUUCUUCAACAUACAUGUGUUAAUUAUGUCCCGUUUGUCCCCACAGGUCCUAUUUGACACAAGGAAGCUACUCGUGCCAUCCCUACAGUGGUUCGGGGGCUGCUUUCAAAUUUCGGCCCUUGAACGCCUUUUUCGACUAAGUUUAUGGCGUUCUGGUACAUGGGAAUUAGGAUACUAAGUGAGAGGCUUGCAAGGGAGGAAUCAAAGUGAUAAUAUCUCACUAUUGCAAAAUUUUAUUUUCAAGGGACAUCAACCUGUAUGCUUAGACACGAAUUACUUAUUUGAGUUGUGUCGUCCAAAGUAAUUAAUGUUUUCAAAAUUGUUAUCA